UACGAAGGGGGCUAGCGUUGCUCGGAAUCACUGGGCGUAAAGCGCACGUAGGCGGAUUGUUAAGUCAGGGGUGAAAUCCUGGAGCUCAACUCCAGAACUGCCUUUGAUACUGGCAAGCUUGGAGUCCGGGAGAGGUGAGUGGAACUGCGAGUGUAGAGGUGAAAUUCGUAGAUAUUCGCAAGAACACCAGUGGCGAAGGCGGCUCACUGGCCCGGUACUGACGCUGAGGUGCGAAAGCGUGGGGAGCAAACAGA
rnacentral:rRNA from 1 species